AAAUAAAUUUACAAUAAAAAACUUUACUUAAAAACACCCUACGCCCACCUAGGGGAAAGCACUUCUUCAAUGCUUACGAUGAAGAAGCUCAUGACUUGUGUCGGGCCUUCAGAAAGAUUCAAGUAUUCAAAAAGGAUCUCGGCUAAGUUUUUCAUAAAACAAAAAAAAAAAAUAUAAAAAAAUUUGGACAACAACAAACAUGCUUACUUGAUUUGCUAAACAAAAUCAAAAGAUCUGUCAAUAUUUCAGAGGUUGCAAAUCACCGCAGCUGUGGUUACCGCUGAACUUGGACUUAAAGUAAGAUGCUUAAUAUUACUUCCAUUAUAUUUCCAGGGUUUAGGGACUGAAAGCUAUUCAACAACCAUUCAUUCUCUUCAAGAACAAGGAUAGGAUACUUUGAUGUUUAGAGUAUCUUAUUAAGCAUCUGAGACGGUAAAUUAUAUGGAAGAAUAAGGCUUUUCACAAUUCCUUUGGAUUUCAGUGGCGUAAUCUUUUCUGUAUGACCUGGACUCUGUUAUCAGUACUUUCUUAAAGUACAGAAUUGAUAAACUCAAUAUUUUAGCGGGGUUUAAAACUCAAAAGGCCCUUUUUGAGCUCAAGUGAGGUUUUUGGCUUUUCACAAUUCCUUUGGAUUUCAGUGGCGUAAUCUUUCCGGUACGACCUGGACUCUGUUAUCAGUACUUUCUUAAAGUACAGCAUUGAUAAACUUCAGUAAUGCUUGUUUAUGAACUGAGAAGGACUCCGAGAGUGUAAGAAAAUUGUUAAUUUUCUUAUCAGUGCCAGACAGACCAGGACUUGACUUUUAGAGUGUGGGUUGCAGUUUUUCAAGGUCUUAGUGAUCUAUUGGCACACAUUGUAGUGUCUUAAUAUAUCUUUGUCGCCUGGUAGAGAAUAUUUAAAAAUUUCAAUGGACUCCAAAUGGACAAUCAAUGAAGAUACCAGAUCAUAGGAAAUUGUUACUUUUUCUAUUACUAACAAUGUUAGUUAAAUACUAAUGACAGAUCCUCAGCUAUUAUGGGUCUAUGCUUGGUUUAAUAACUUCUACAUGAGCAUGUUUACAACAUAUUACAAACAGGAAUCGGUUGAUAUGAUGAGAACAUAUGAUGAGACAGAUCCUCAGCUAUUACGGGUCUAUGCUUAGUGUUAUAACUUUUACAUGAGAAUGUUUACAACAUAUUACAAACAGGAACUGAAUAAUAUGAUGAGAACUCUAUAGCUCUGAAUUUCCACAAAACUCUGGAACUGGAAACUUAAAUGUGUUCUUUUUAUUGUUACAAGUUUGGUUCAACUUGUCUAAUAGAUGGUAUAAAUCGUAUAGAUGCCUAUUUAAGCGCCAUGAAUGGAUGCGUUUUCCAUUUGAAAAAAAGGACUGAAUGCAUUAAAUUUGCAGAUAAUGUUUCUGUUCGGUACAGCUGUUUAAUCCAUGUAUUGUUAUGUACAUUAACAAUAAUAUUUUAAUAUACUUUUAUAUGAGUAUAUUAAAAAAAAAAAUAAAUAAAAAAAUGG